UAACUUAGUAAUAUACAUAAUUGAAUUAAUUAUAUGUAUAAAUUAUAAAACAUUUCUUUUUUAGUAAAGGAGAUUGAACUUAGUAUUUUAAGUUAAGUACUGUAAAGGAAGGACAGAAUUUUUGUUUAGCAGUAUUUAUUUAC
rnacentral:rRNA from 1 species